GACGAACGCUGGCGGCGUGCCUAAUACAUGCAAGUAGAACGCUGAAGGAGGAGCUUGCUCUUCUGGAUGAGUUGCGAACGGGUGAGUAACGCGUAGGUAACCUGCCUGGUAGCGGGGGAUAACUAUUGGAAACGAUAGCUAAUACCACAUAAGAGUAGAUGUUGCAUGACAUUUACUUAAAAGGUGCAAUUGCAUCACUACCAGAUGGACCUGCGUUGUAUUAGCUAGUUGGUGGGGUAACGGCUUACCAAGGCGACGAUACAUAGCCGACCUGAGAGGGUGAUCGGCCACACUGGGACUGAGACACGGCCCAGACUCCUACGGGAGGCAGCAGUAGGGAAUCUUCGGCAAUGGACGGAAGUCUGACCGAGCAACGCCGCGUGAGUGAAGAAGGUUUUCGGAUCGUAAAGCUCUGUUGUAAGAGAAGAACGAGUGUGAGAGUGGAAAGUUCACACUGUGACGGUAUCUUACCAGAAAGGGACGGCUAACUACGUG
rnacentral:rRNA from 1 species